rnacentral:rRNA from 1 species
GACGAACGCUGGCGGCGUGCUUAACACAUGCAAGUCGAACGGAAAGGCCCUGCUUUUGUGGGGUGCUCGAGUGGCGAACGGGUGAGUAACACGUGAGUAACCUGCCCUUGACUUUGGGAUAACUUCAGGAAACUGUGGCUACUACCUGAUAGCAGCUCCUGCUGCAUGGUGGGGGUUGGAACGUUUCGUCGGUUGGGGAUGGACUCGCGGCUUAUCAGCUUGUUGGUGGGGUAGUGGCUUACCAAGGCUUUGACGGGUAGCCGGACUGGGAGGGUGACCGGCGACAUGGGGACUGAGAUAGGGCCCAGACUCGAACGGGAGGCAGAAGUGGGGAGUAUUGCAAAAUGAGCGGAAGCCUGAUGCAGAAACGCCGCGUGCGGGAUGAAGGCCUUCGGGUUGUAAACCGCAUUCGCCUGUGACGAAGGGUGAGUGACGGUAACGGGUAAAGAAGCACCGGCUAACUACGUG